UGCAUGUCUAGAUUGAUGUUUAAAGUAGAAACAAACUCUACAGGUGGUACUUAACGUGCUUGGUGUGGAGUGGACACCUUAUUGACUUUGUGGACGUUUAUUUCUCAUGCAGGAAAAAAUGCGGAGAGAUGCAGAGCAGGCGCUGACUCUGAUGUGGCUUCUCUCUUGGAUCCCACACAGCAUGUGUCAUUCUCCCCCAGGGAGGCCCAGACUAACAAAAUGUCGGUCACCUGAGAAAGAGACCUUUACUUGCUGGUGGGAGCCUGGAUCCACUGGUGGAUUGCCCACUAGCUACCACCUGUAUUAUAGAAAAGAGAGCUCCGUGGAAGUCUUUGAAUGCCCGGAUUAUCAUAAGGCGGGGGACAAUUCCUGUUAUUUUGAUAAGCGGCACACUUCUAUUUGGAUCAUAUACAACAUCACAGUGGUGGCCUCCAAUACACUGGGAAAAGCCUAUUCAGAAUCUGUGGAAGUUGAUGUUAUGGAUAUCGUGCAGCCUCACCCUCCAGAGAAUGUGAAUGUGACUUUGAUGCAGACCAAGAACAGUCCAUUUUUCCUGGUGCAGUGGCAGCCUCCCCAUGACGCAGACACCCGCUCAGGCUGGGUAACAAUCAAAUAUGAGGUUCGCUUAAAAAACAGCGGAGACGAGGCGUACAGCAGCAAUUGGGAGUCAUAUGGUGCUGGAAAACAGUUGGAGUUUAGCAUCUAUAGUCCUCAGCCGGGAGCAAAGUACGUCGUGCAAGUGCGCUGCAAACUAGACCAAGGCCUCUGGAGUGAAUGGAGCCCAUCCGCUUUCAUCCAGAUUCCAGACACUAUGUCUGACACACAGAAUGCAGUUAUGAUCCUUGCGGUCACUCUAUCUGUCAUAAUUUUCCUGCUGACUGCAGGAGUGCUGACAGUCAAUAUGAAACGGGUGAAGCAUUUUUUACUGCCACCGGUUCCAGAACCGAAGAUAAGUGGCAUAGACACUCAGCUACUUAAGAGUGGGAAGUCUGAGGAGAUCUUCAGUGCUCUGGUUACUCUGGGAUAUCCCCAAAUAGCCCAGAGCUUAGACCGUCAGGUGGAGUAUCUCGUGGUCUCUGAUAAUGAUGAGGAAACGGAUUUUGAUAGCAAAGCUCAUCUUGAGUACCAAAAGGGGAAAAACGGUCCCGCAGAAACUGCACAAAACAGCAUCCAGAUCGCAUGGAACAGCAGUCAGGGGCUAAAAACUCACCAUGGGACUGUCUCCAAACAGCUAAGUUCCACCAUCAGUGUCCUUGAAGAUCUUCAACAACGACUUCACCUUGAUUCCAAUGGCUCGCCAGUAAAAGCUCAGGACCAAAACACUCGAAUGAUCUCUGAUAGCAAAUGUGAGCACGUCAGCAUCACACCUGGUGGAUUUACAGGCUACGUUGAGGUUGACGAAGAGAAACGAGACCAAAAGCCCCUGGUAGGGGAGGACUACAGUAUGGUCAGUGACGUUAACAGUGAUAAUAUCCUUGUACUACAAGAAAGCAUCCCUGUACAGGGACACAAAGAAGUCAAAUGUGACAAAACAUCUGCAGCCGAGGAAACUGGAGGUGUCAUCGAACCUCUGGGAUACAUGGAAACCGUGACAACAUUUUCAAGUGGAUCUUGACUAUUUUGUGACUUAAAAUGUAGAGGUUUGGGACUAUUUUGUCUUGUAGUGUCCUGUUCAAACUAUCAAGCACUUUGUUAGUAGAGAUGUGAGAAGGGUUAUUUCAGAAAUCUGUGGUGUGUUUCCCAUACAAUGAUAUUAAAUGGCUGCUUAACUGCCAUAGUACAAUGCAAUCAUUGGAGAAAUUAACUAGCUAGUCAUGAUUGUUUCCCAAAACCACUAUUUUGUCAUUCGAACUACGUUGGCUCAACAAUCUAGAAUUGUGUGGAGUAAUAACUUCUGCUAAUUAAUCGGUUCAUGAUUGAAUUAAUGUCAGAUUAUUGCUGUAAGUAGGGAUCAUGGCAUCUGAGGACUAAAUCAGUAUUUUAGUUUGCCAUUAUUUUGCUUAUUUCCUAAUGUCUGAUUCAAUCAUGGGAUGCUUGAGCACAUUCACUCAUGCUCACUUCAAAAACUGUGCUUUCAUUCUCUUUCCAAACAAAAAUUUCAACUCUGAAGUUUGUAUACACUCACCGGCAACUUUAUUAGGUACCCCAUGCUAGUAACGGGU